GUUCUUCAGACUGAAGUAAUUUGGCGGUCCUUCAUUAUAGGUCUUAAUAUUAGAUUGACACACAUCACACAUGUGAACAUCUUCUUUGACUACAGUGAUAUUUACUGCAACUGUAAUGUUAUUAACAUCAAAAAGUCAAUCAAAAACUUGAACUUGUACUAAAAUAUUUUUCUCUAUAAAAAAUAGUACAUUACAUUUGCUUACAUCUGUAAGGUAUUUCUCCG
rnacentral:lncRNA from 1 species